rnacentral:rRNA from 1 species
GGCGAACGCUGGCGGCGUGCCUAAUACAUGCAAGUUGAGCGCUGAAGGUUUGUACUUGUGCCGACUGGAUGAGCAGCGAACGGGUGAGUAACGCGUGGGGAAGCUGCCUUUGAGCGGGGGACAACAUUUGGAAACGAAUGCUAAUACCGCAUAAAAACUUUAAACACAGGUUUUAAGUUUGAAAGAUGCAAUUGCAUCACUCAAAGAUGAUCCCGCGUUGGAUUAGCUAGUUGGUGAGGUAAAGGCUCACCAAGGCGAUGAUACAUAGCCGACCUGAGAGGGUGAUCGGCCACAUUGGGACUGAGACACGGCCCAAACUCCUACGGGAGGCAGCAGUAGGGAAUCUUCGGAAAUGGACGAAAGUCUGAACGAGCAACGCCGCGGGAGUGAAGAAGGGUUUCGGAUCGUAAAACUCUGUUGGUAGAGAAGAAAGUUGGUGAGAGUGGAAAGCUCAUCAAGUGACGGUAACUACACAGAAAGGGACGGCUAACUACGUG